rfam:Corchorus capsularis cultivar CVL-1 contig10430, whole genome shotgun sequence.
UCAGUGGAGCUUUUAAGCUCCAUAAACAUGUUAAGAAGUUGACAU